UACGAAGGGGGCUAGCGUUGUUCGGAAUUACUGGGCGUAAAGCGCACGUAGGCGGAUUGUUAAGUCAGAGGCGAAAUCCCGGAGCUCAACUUCGGAACUGCCUUUGAUACUGGCAAUCUAGAGUCCGGAAGAGGUUAGUGGAAUUCCCAGUGUAGAGGUGAAAUUCGUAGAUAUUGGGAAGAACACCAGUGGCGAAGGCGGCUAACUGGUCCGGUACUGACGCUGAGGUGCGAAAGCGUGGGGAGCAAACAGG
rnacentral:rRNA from 1 species